rnacentral:miRNA from 1 species
GUCAAAGAGCAUUCCAGGUGGAGGGAAUAGAGAGGUGCCGAUUCUGAAGUGGGAAGACGUUGGGGCGUCGUCUUCACUGAGCAGGGCCACUGUGGCUGUGACCCUUGCAUGAGGGAAUGAGGGCUUUAU